CCUACGGGUGGCAGCAGUCGAGAAUCAUUCACAAUGGGGGAAACCCUGAUGGUGCGACGCCGCGUGGGGGAAUGAAGGUCUUCGGAUUGUAAACCCCUGUCAUGUGGGAGCAAAUUAAAAAGAUAGUACCACAAUAGGAAGAGACGGCUAACUCGGUGCCAGCAGCCGCGGUACUACAGAGGUCUCAAGCGUUGUUCGGAAUCACUGGGCGUAAAGCGUGCGUAGGCUGUUUCGUAAGUCGUGUGUGAAAGGCGCGGGCUCAACCCGCGGACGGCACAUGAUACUGCGAGACUAGAGUAAUGGAGGGGGAAGCGGAAUGCGCGGUGUAGCAGUGAAAUGCGUAGAUAUCGCGAGGAACACUCGUGGCGAAGGCGGGUUCCUGGACAUUAACUGACGCUGAGGCACGAAGGCCAGGGGAGCGAAAGGGAUUAGAUACCCCAGUAGUC
rnacentral:rRNA from 1 species